UGGGGAAUAUUGGGCAAUGGGCGAAAGCCUGACCCAGCAACGCCGCGUGAAGUAUGAAGGCCUUCGGGUUGUAAACUUCUUUGAUCAGGGAAGAAACAAAUGACGGUACCUGAAAAACAAGCCACGGCUAACUACGUGCCAGCAGCCGCGGUAAUACGUAGGUGGCAAGCGUUGUCCGGAAUUAUUGGGCGUAAAGCGCGCGCAGGUGGUUUAGAAAGUCUGAUGUGAAAGCCCACGGCUCAACCGUGGAGGGUCAUUGGAAACUAAUAAACUUGAGUGCAGGAGAGAAAAGUGGAAUUCCUAGUGUAGCGGUGAAAUGCGUAGAGAUUAGGAGGAUCACCGGUGGCGAAAGCGGCUUUUUGGCCUGCAACUGACACUGAGGCGCGAAAGCGUGGGGAGCAAACAGG
rnacentral:rRNA from 1 species